CACAUUUUUCAUCCAGGCACACAAGAAUGCUCCUCUGUUUGUACUGGAACAAUCAAAAACUCAGGAAGUUUUAAGUGGUACUUCAGUGUCUGGGAUGUGAACUUCAUGGUGUGCUCACCACUCUUACUCAGAUCACAAUCAACUCUUCACUCCUCCUUCUCCACAGACAUUUCAGCCUGAGGUGGAUGUGGGACAAUCAGGAUAACUGCUGGAACAAGG